rnacentral:rRNA from 1 species
UACGAAGGUGGCUAGCGUUGCUCGGAAUCACUGGGCGUAAAGGGUGCGUAGGCGGGUUUUUAAGUCAGGGGUGAAAUCCUGGAGCUCAACUCCAGAACUGCCUUUGAUACUGAAGAUCUUGAGUCCGGGAGAGGUGAGUGGAACUGCGAGUGUAGAGGUGAAAUUCGUAGAUAUUCGCAAGAACACCAGUGGCGAAGGCGGCUCACUGGCCCGGUACUGACGCUGAGGCACGCAAGCGUGGGGAGCAAACAGG